CUUGUAAACUAAAAUGGGAAAAUAUUGUGAAACUCUAUCGAAAAAAUGCCAUAGUUUUGCCGCUGCACUGUGCCUCUCUCUCUCUCUCACACUGCUGAUUUCUUUCCCCGUCUCUCUCUCUCUCGCUUUUUUGCUCUUCUUAUUCGCUUUUUCUUUUCCUUUCUGCCUUUCUGUGUGAUGCUGCUGCUGCUGCUGCUGCAAGUUGCACAUAGUUAACGCUUCAGUUGUAAAAAUGCCCAUCAGCGCGUUCAAAUUUUUAGCAGCAAACCAACUGGAGUGCCACGCCUCCCC
rnacentral:lncRNA from 1 species